CAUUAGGAUGCUAAAGAGGGUAUUACGUUAGCGCCUUAAGCUAAAAAUUGGUGACUUACAACCACC
rnacentral:tRNA from 1 species